rnacentral:rRNA from 1 species
AUACGGAGGGUGCAAGCGUUAAUCGGAAUUACUGGGCGUAAAGAGUACGUAGGUGGUUUGUUAAGUCAGAUGUGAAAGCCCCGGGCUCAACCUGGGAACUGCAUUUGAAACUGGCAAACUAGAGUAUGGUAGAGGGGGGUAGAAUUUCUAGUGUAGCGGUGAAAUGCGUAGAUAUUAGAAGGAAUACCAGUGGCGAAGGCGGCCCCCUGGACCAAUACUGACACUGAGGUACGAAAGCGUGGGUAGCGAACAGGAGUAGAAACCCUAGUAGUCC